CACCGCGGUUAGACGAGAGGCCCAAGUUGAUAAUACGCGGCGUAAAGGGUGGUUAAGGGUUGUAAACAAUAAAGCCGAAUGGCCCUUUGGCUGUUAAACGCUUCUGGGUGCCUGAAGCCCAACAUACGAAAGUAGCUUUAAAAUAGUUCACCUGACCCCACGAAAGCUGAGAAC
rnacentral:rRNA from 1 species